AGAGUUUGAUCAUGGCUCAGAUUGAACGCUGGCGGUAUGCCUAAUACAUGCAAGUCGAACGGUAACAGGCUUUUCGGAGUGCUGACGAGUGGCGGACGGGUGAGUAACGCGUGGGAAUCUGCCCUGUAGCGGGGGACAACCUUAGGAAACUGAGGCUAAUACCGCAUACCUUCUACGGAAGAAAGUAGGCCACUGAAUAUGCUUACACUACAGGAUGAGCCCGCGUUGGAUUAGCUAGUUGGUAAGGUAAUGGCUUACCAAGGCUACGAUCCAUAACUGGUCUGAGAGGACGACCAGUCACACCGGGACUGAGACACGGCCCGGACUCCUACGGGAGGCAGCAGUAGGGAAUAUUGGGCAAUGGGCGCAAGCCUGACCCAGCAAUGCCGCGUGUGUGAAGAAGGCCUUAGGGUUGUAAAGCACUUUCAGGAGGGAAGAAAAGGUUAGGAAUAAUACGCCUAACUCAUGACGUUACCUCCAAAAGAAGCACCGGCUAACUCUGUGCCAGCAGCCGCGGUAAUACAGAGGGUGCGAGCGUUAAUCGGAAUUACUGGGCGUAAAGGGUGCGUAGGCGGUUAGAUAAGUUAGAUGUGAAAUCCCUGGGCUCAACCUGGGAACUGCCUCUAAAACUAUCUAACUCGAGUGCAGUGGAGGAAAGUGGAAGUUCCGGUGUAGCGGUGAAAUGCGUAGAUAUCGGAAGGAACAUC
rnacentral:rRNA from 1 species